ACUCUUAUAAAUUGAAUCAUUUUAUAUUAUGUUUGUAAUAAAUAAAGAUCAGUUUCAACAACGGAUUUCUUGCUUCUCGCAUCGAUGAASAACGUAACGAAGGGCGAUAAGUGAGGUGAAUUGAAUAAUUCCGUGAAUCAUCGAAUCUUUG
rnacentral:rRNA from 1 species